rnacentral:rRNA from 1 species
GACGAACGCUGGCGGCGUGCCUAAUACAUGCAAGUAGGACGCACAGUUUAUACCGUAGCUUGCUACACCAUAGACUGUGAGUUGCGAACGGGUGAGUAACGCGUAGGUAACCUACCUAUUAGAGGGGGAUAACUAUUGGAAACGAUAGCUAAUACCGCAUAACAGUAUGUAACACAUGUUAGAUGCUUGAAAGAUGCAAUUGCAUCGCUAGUAGAUGGACCUGCGUUGUAUUAGCUAGUAGGUAGGGUAAAGGCCUACCUAGGCAACGAUACAUAGCCGACCUGAGAGGGUGAUCGGCCACACUGGGACUGAGACACGGCCCAGACUCCUACGGGAGGCAGCAGUAGGGAAUCUUCGGCAAUGGGGGGAACCCUGACCGAGCAACGCCGCGUGAGUGAAGAAGGUUUUCGGAUCGUAAAGCUCUGUUGUUAAGGAAGAACGAGUGUGAGAAUGGAAAGUUCAUGCUG